AUGGAUAGUUACAGAAAGCAUAGCACAGUUGUACAACGUGUCCAUUCAAAUGCAGGGAUGGAAAUAAAUGUCCUGACUUGGCAAGGUCUUCACACUGUACUCUUCAACAGAAGGCUACAUCAAAUGCAGCUGGAUCCAGGGCAACCCAGUCAACGAUACGCCCCCAGGGUAAGCUAGUUCGUGGUUUCCUCCCAAAUCAAGCUCUCUCUCUUUUCCCAACAGUGUGGCUUUAAAUCUGUGGAUUGAGAGUUCUCUAGCUGGGUGUAAAUUCCUAUUGACCUUAACUAGAAAAACUUACCUUCCUCCAAAUCUGUUUAGAAAUGUGUCCCCCUGGGCCCUAAAGUGCUAUUUGAGUUUUUCAGCAUCUUUCAGCUCAAUGAGAGACCUAAAUGCCAACUCUGUGACUCAAGGACGGUGGAUGGAUUUGUCAACAUCUCUGGAGAAUUCAAUCAUGAAUCACUGAGUGAGCGACAUUUUUUCGUUUGUUACUAAGCCCGUACCUUUUUGUGUGUGAGAAUGCCUAUUUUUUUUUUUAUUGAGGUUAUGAUAGUUUACAACGUUGUGAAAUUUCGGUUGUACACUAUUAUUUGUCAGUCAUCUUAUAGGUGUGUCCUUUCACCCUUUGCGCCCACUCCCCACCCCUCUGCUCCCUGGUUACCAUAAAUAGUUCUCUUUGUCCAUGUGUUUGUUUAUCCUCCACAUACUAAUGGACUCAAGCAGUGUUUGUUUUUCUCUGUCUGUAAGCACAUAUUUUUUGUCAUUGUUUUGCUCAUUUAAAUUAUUAUAAUGUUGAAAGUGAUUUAUUUACUAGGUAAUCUAGUUAUGUCUUAAUGGAAAUGACAGUUAACUUCUCUUAGUCUUAGCUGAAUUAUCUACCUUUUGAUAUGGUUUAGCAAGACUCCUGUAUCCAGAAAGAACAGGAAGCAAAUAUGGGAUCCAGGAUCCUGCUGGCAGAUCUUUUGGGCAGCCCAAGCAUUCGUAAGCUUCUGUAACAUACUGUGCUGUAAUUAUGAUGCCAGUUUAAUCAGUUCUACUCACAAUUUAUGGACUUGUUCAAUUUACUUCCUUGACGGGAUAUAGCUAAUCCAUUUGAAUCUGUGACACACAAGUGCACACAAAACAUCACUUUCCUUUCUUUAUAGUUGUGGUUUAUCUGUACAUAUUUCUUCCCCUGCUGCCCACUUAGGUGGGCUUUUAUACGUUUUAAUAAACCAGGCUUAUUAUUCCA
rnacentral:lncRNA from 1 species